rnacentral:lncRNA from 1 species
ACUAUAUAUUUAUUGAAUAUUGUACUAUAUAUUAUACUAAAUGUUCGUAUUAUAUUUUAGUAUAAACAUUUAGAGCUGUAAAAACGACGAUUUUUAAGCUACGUCGUUUACGUACAGAUUGCUAUGUUUUAUUACUUGUGCUGUUAUAACCGUUUGUUAAAAAACAUUUUUAAAAACACAAGUUUUCACGAUUACUGCACUUAACAAUAUUAAAAUUUCGUUUCAAUAAAAAUGUGUUAUUAUAGAAUUAUGUGUUUUGUGUUUGCAUCAAGUUAAAAAAUAUCGAAGAAAGGCUUUUUACUACCAAAUUAUACUUUUACCUUUUCUUUUAGAUUCUUCAAUUUUCGGUAUUAUUAAAAACUCUAGAAGACAAAAUAGAAUGCAUCCUUUUUGUAACUGGUGCAGCUUUUACUGUAUAUAUCAAUUUUUAUCUUGGACAAAGGUUGCUGAAUCAUAGCGAUGCUGUUCGUGAAGAAUUGUGUGAUGUUCCGUUUUAUACAUUAUCCAUAAAUACACAAAAAAUGCUACUAUUUAUAAUAACUAAAAGUGGAAAACCGUGCUUUCUAUCAAUCGGAAAUAUGUUUGUCU